UCAAGCUGCCCCUGGUCGCUGCCUGUACUCAGGAACGUGGCAGGUCCCUGCACUGGGGAACGUGGCCGGUCCCGGGUGUGGGAGCCACCUCCCGCCCUGGUCAGAAGGUAAACGUCCUGCAGAGCUGCCUGGGGUGGGGAGGGGCUGGGUGGAGACCACUUCCGACUCCUGGGAUGUCUCCAUCCCUGGCCGAUCCUGGGUGCUGGAGCUUAGCAAACGAGUUCAUGCAUGGUCUGCCCCUGUGCAGACGAAGAGCCUGAGGUCCAAGAGGACCCAGGAUGCUGUGACCACCUCUGCCAACCUCUGGGGCUUCUCGGGAACCCUGCUCCAGGGAGGUGCUUCCUUCUCUGAACCUGGGUUUUCUCAACUGUAAAACGGAUGUAAUCUGGUGCCCACCGCCCCAGCCACUGUGUGGGCAGAGGGCAGCUGGCAGGCCUUGAUGGGGCUUCUCCUGCAGUUUGACAAAGUUCCCCCCAGAUGAGUCCUAGGCUUCUAAGUGCCCAAGAAACCAGCAGAGCCGCAUUCCAGAUCCCCUGGCACAAGGGCAAAGGUCUCGGGGGCUGUGGUGCCGAACCUGACUUUCCAGCCCCAGUCAUCUCAAGAGAGAAGGUCCCCCUUCCCACAGAUGGGCCGGCCAGGGCCCCCCGGAGAGAAGGUCGCUGACAUCCAGCUGUCUGGUGCCCCUGCCGCCCUCCACCAUGCCCUUGGAGAUGCCAUCCUCGGUCCCGAGGACUCGGACCUGGUGCCCUCUGUGACCCUGGCCGCAGCCCUGGUCCUGGUGUUCCUCCUGCUCUUGGCCUGGCUGGUGUAACACAGGCCCCUCUGAGUCUGCUGCUGCUGUGGCCUCCGAGGCAGAAGGUGGCGUAUCUGUUGGCCGGGCUGGGCAGGAGUCAGGAGUGGAGCUCCAGGAGCAGAUCCAGGGACGGGGCUGGAGGGUGGGGGUCUGCAGGGGCGGGGAGUUGAGGGUAAGAGUGUGGGGAAAACUUGUGGCCUCUGUCUAUGGCAGCCCCCGUGGGACCCCAGGAAGACCCCAAGGCCCCCCCCACUGGAGAGCGGGAACCCAGGGGAGCCCUAGUCUCUGCUUUCCAACGUCACUGCUGGAGGCUCACCCCUCCAGAUGGCGGCAGAUGGUGGGCUAAGAGCCUGGGGCCCCAGAAAGUGCUGCGGCAGAUGGGGCUCAAAUCCACCUCACCCAGGUUUGCCGCAGGGCUGGAGUCCCCAUCUUUGCACGACCAUCCGGGUGCUGCAAAUAAAGCCAGGUGAUCCCUGGGAAUUUGUGGAAGGAAAUCAAAGUGAGUCCAGAAAUGAGCGUUCCAGCCCAGGCUCUGUCCACGAAGGGUUGUGACGGUCCAUGUGGUCUUGGCCCGCCACCUGCUGGCUGAAGUGAGAAUUGCACCAUCUGCCGUGCGAUCCCUUUGGGCGUUCCUCAGGGCAGAGGAGGUGAGGGUGUUUUAUUCUUCAAACUGGAAAAAUUUGAGAUUAUGGAUUAAACACAAGUCCUGUUACUUAGAGAGAGCUUCUUUUACCAUUUGCUAUUUAUCUUCGUUCCUUUCAGUUCUGUAUCUAUAAUUUUGCCCCCAAAAUAUCCUCAGGAAGGGGGUGGAGGGGGUGGGAGAGAAUUGUGUACAUCGGGGGGGCAGUGGUGAUGGGUCACACUGCCCAGGGUCACUGGAGUCUUGCUGCGCCAUGGUGGCCCCGUCCUGGACCUUGACAAAGGAAGGCACGAGUUGCUGAGGAUGGGAGGGGCGUGGGACCUUCAGGUUAGGACCGGGAGGCACCAGGACCCCUCUGUCCUCAUUGAACAAAUACUUAUCAAGACGCUAUGUGCCAGACACGGGAAGGCGGACGGGGCGGGGGCGCCCAGAGAGCUCGGGGCUGGCCCUCCCCAGGGAAGGGAAGGCCUCUGGCGUGAGCCCCAACCACAGACUUCCCCUCCGGGGGUGACGUUUCUUUUCCCUGCUCCUCCGGCUUCUCAGAGUCAAAGCACGCACCUGUGUGUCCAGGCUGGUGUGCCGGGAGCGGCAGAUGCCCUCUGUCCCCCACCGCUGCGUGGAUUCAGCCCAGUGGAGAGGGCAGGCCCAGCGUGUGGCAGGGGCAGGGGCAGGGGCAGGGCUCUGCUGGGGCCAUAAGCUCCGGGAACUGCACCUGCGAGGACGAUCCCGUUCAGGGACCGGUUUUAUAAACGCUGAGCGUGUGCGGUAGCGACGUGGGCAUCCUUCCUCCCAGCCUGGUGGAGGGCCGCUGGGGGUCUGCAAGGCGAGGGGGUCCUCCAGCUGUCCUCGCAGUUAGGUGACUGAGUCAGUUCUGGCCCAGAGUUCCAGUCCUGGGGGCCAGGCCCCAGAGAGCCACGCCAAAGACCUGGCCGGACACUCCUUGUGGAUUUUCUUGGGGACCUUCUCGGGGUGCCGGCCCACCCGCACUAUCAGCCCUCAUGUGGCAGGCGGGGACCCGAGGCCUGCGGGAGAGAAGGCGGCUGCCUGGGAGAUGGACACGGUCUGAUCUGAGCAGAAUAUGUUCCAUUGGGAGACCCGAGGGCAUCCCAG